rnacentral:lncRNA from 1 species
UGUGGUUGAACAACGUGUAGUUAUAUAAGAUUGUUUUUUAAUCUGGUGUCUGGAUGAACAUUACAUAAUUGUCUGGGUGGAAUGCCUUUACCUGCAUAGUUUCCCAUGAGAUCUUUUUGUACUGUAGAGACAUGAAAGUUGGAUAAAAAAGCCAAAUUAACUACGGUAUCAUCUGCAAGUAAAAAUGUAAAGAAACGCACGUCUGGCGUAUAAAAUUUUAAACCUGAUACUUGUUGUUAGCUAUUAUUAGUGUAUUUCUUUGUCCUAUAUUUUCUCCCAUUUUUUUGUAAUGUAAUCCUGUCAGGUAAUAUUGUCAUUUUAAUGUUAAAUUUAGUAUUGCCAUUAUAGUGGAAGGUUUGGCAUGUCACAAAACCAGGUUCAAAUCCACCAUUUUUU